rnacentral:lncRNA from 1 species
GUUUCUCAGGGUAUGGGCCCUCAAAGCUCCAACUUUGGUAUGAAUGCACAUUUGGGUCUUGUGAAUGCCAAUGUAGCCGCCCAGCAGUCUAAGAAUGGCUUGUCUAAGCAAAUGCCUAAUGCGACUCAGCAAUUGCUAGGCCAGUUGCCUCUGAUGAAUUCUUUCGACUUUGUUCAGCAGCCACAAACUCAGAACUUUAAUCCUCCUGCUUCUGCUAAUACACAGGUGAAUUCACUUGGAUCCUGCAUUCUGUGUUGCUGUACUUUAACUCCGUAAUGUGUUUGAGGCGGUUUAUUUUCACCAAGUAGUUCUUGGUCAUCUUCUCUUAGACCUUUUAUUCUAUUGACUGCAGUAUGCACUACUGGAAAAACUCCUAAAUUGCACCCUGCCUUUCGCUUAAGAAUCAAGAUUAUGUAGCAUAGAUAGAUAGUGAUGAGCCUCCUGAGUUAGUAGCAUGGUGGGGGAAAAUGUCAUCUUACUACUGGUAAAGGAUGUUGUCUAAGUUGUAGCCUUGUGGUAUGACGACAUUAUUUCUUAUAGCUAGGUCAUUGGUAACUUUCAUCGGACAUUUCCUACAUGACAUAAUUAUUGUUUGUUCAAGUGAAUUGGAGCUAAGCUGCAUUAUAGAGGAAAACUAUUCCUGUUUGUGCUCAUGUAAUGCUUAUUUUAGCUAGAAAGUUUUGCUAAAGUCUGUGUCUGUGUAUUGUUCAAACUAGGUAUGUCAGGGUAUAGGGCCUCAAAUUCCCAACUUUUCUAUGAAUGCGCAUUUGGGUCUUUUGAAUGCCAAUGGAGCUGUCCAGCAAAUGCCUAAUGUGAAUCAGCAAUUGCUAGGCCAGUUACCUAUGAUGAAUCAGUUUGGCUUUGUUCAGCAGCCACAAACUCAGAACUUCAAUGCUCCUGCUUCUACUAAUACACAGG